GACGAACGCUGGCGGCGUGCUUAACACAUGCAAGUCGAACGCUGAAGCUCAGCUUUUGUUGGGUGGAUGAGUGGCGAACGGGUGAGUAACACGUGAGUAACCUGCCUCCUUCUUUGGGAUAACGCCCGGAAACGGGUGCUAAUACUGGAUAUUCACUGGUCUUCGCAUGGGGGUUGGUGGAAAGGGUUUUUCUGGUGGGGGAUGGGCUCGCGGCCUAUCAGCUUGUUGGUGGGGUGAUGGCCUACCAAGGCUUUGACGGGUAGCCGGCCUGAGAGGGGGACCGGUCACAUUGGGACUGAGAUUCGGCCCAGACUACUACGGGAGGCCGCAGUGGGGAAUAUUGCGCAAUGGGCGCAAGCCUGAUGCAGCGCCGCCGCGUGAGGGAUGGCGGCCUUCGGGUUGUGAACCUCUUUCGCUCAUGGUCAAGCCGCAACAAUGGUUGUGGUGAGGGUAGUGGGUAAAGAAGCGCCGGCUAACUACGUG
rnacentral:rRNA from 1 species